GAAAUGCGAUAAGUAAUUUGAAUUGCAGAAUUCAGUGAAUCAUCGAAUCUUUGAACGCACCUUGCGCUCCUUGGUAUUCCUUGGAGCAUGCCUGUUUGAGUAUCAUGAAAUCUUCAAAGUAAAUCUUUUGUUAACUCAAUUGGUUUCUACUUUGGUAUUGGAGGUCUUUGCAGCUUCACACCUGCUCCUCUUUGUUCAUUAGCUGGAUCUCAGUGUUAUGCUUGGUUCCACUCGGCGUGAUAAGUUAUCUAUCGCUGAGGACACUGUAAAAGGUGGCCAAGGUAAAUGCAGAUGAACCGCUUCUAAUAGUCCAUUGACUUGGACAAUACUUUUAUGAUCUGAUCUCAAAUCAGGUAGGACUACCCGCUGAACUUAAGC
rnacentral:misc_RNA from 1 species